rnacentral:rRNA from 1 species
CUUGGUCAUUUAGAGGAAGUAAAAGUCGUAACAAGGUCUCCGUAGGUGAACCUGCGGAGGGAUCAUUACACAAAUAUGAAGGCGGGCUGGAACCUCUCGGGGUUACAGCCUUGCUGAAUUAUUCACCCUUGUCUUUUGCGUACUUCUUGUUUCCUUGGUGGGUUCGCCCACCACUAGGACAAACAUAAACCUUUUGUAAUUGCAAUCAGCGUCAGUAACAAAUUAAUAAUUACAACUUUCAACAACGGAUCUCUUGGUUCUGGCAUCGAUAAAGAACGCAGCGAAAUGCGAUAAGUAGUGUGAAUUGCAGAAUUCAGUGAAUCAUCGAAUCUUUGAACGCACAUUGCGCCCUUUGGUAUUCCAAAGGGCAUGCCUGUUCGAGCGUCAUUUGUACCCUCAAGCUUUGCUUGGUGUUGGGCGUCUUGUCUCUAGCUUUGCUGGAGACUCGCCUUAAAGUAAUUGGCAGCCGGCCUACUGGUUUCGGAGCGCAGCACAAGUCGCACUCUCUAUCAGCAAAGGUCUAGCAUCCAUUAAGCCUUUUUUUCAACUUUUGACCUCGGAUCAGGUAGGGAUACCCGCUGAACUUAAGCAUAUCAAUAAGCGGAGGA